rnacentral:rRNA from 1 species
GAUGAAUGCUGGCGGCGUGUCUAAGGCAUGCAAGUCGUGCGGAUCGUUUUUUGUCGCAAGACGAGAAACGGUUAGCGGCAAACGGGUGCGUAACACAUUGGUAAUCUGCUUCACAGUCGGGCAUAAGCCCUCGAAAGGGGGUCUAAUUCCACGAUGGACAUGAGGGGACAUAUGUCAUUCUCAUGUAAAGUCGCAAGACGCUGUGAAAGGAACCUAUGACCUAUCAGCUUGUUGGCGGGGUAAUGGCCCACCAAGGCGAUGACGGGUAGGGGAUGUGAGAGCAUGAUCCCCCUCACUGGGACUGAGACACUGCCCAGACACCUACGGGUGGCUGCAGUCGAGAAUAUUCGGCAAUGGGCGAAAGCCUGACCGAGCGACGCCGCGUGCAGGACGAAGGGCUUCGGCUCGUAAACUGCUUUUACUCGGGAAGAAUUUUGACGGUACCGAGAGAAUAAGAGGUUGCUAACUCUGUGCCAGCAGC